GAUGAAGAACGCAGCGAAAUGCGAUAAGUAAUGUGAAUUGCAGAAUUCCGUGAAUCAUCGAAUCUUUGAACGCACAUUGCGCCCCCUGGCAUUCCGGGGGGCAUGCCUGUCCGAGCGUCAUUUCUGCCCUCCAGCCCGGCUGGGUGUUGGGCGCUGUCCCCCCGGGGACACGCCCCAAAGGCAGUGGCGGCGCCGCGUCGGGUCCUCGAGCGUAUGGGGCUUUGUCACCCGCUCGGGCCGGACUCGUCGGCGCUGGUCUUCCUCCAGGCGACCCUUCGGGGCUCGUCUUCCUUCGGUUGACCUCGGAUCAGGUAGGGUUACCCGCUGAACUUAAGCAUAUCAAUAAGCGGAGGA
rnacentral:misc_RNA from 1 species